AAGAAGCAGGAGAAAAAGGAGAUAAGAAAACCUUCUGGAUUGGAAAGGGGCUCUGAUCCAUACCCCAAGAGAGGGUUGUUGAAUCUCUUGCAAGAAAGAAUUUGGUUGGAGAACACAGUUGGAUUUCUAUUCUUGAAAGAGCUUUAUUUUGGAGAGGAGACCUAUUUCUAAAGGAAAAUUGAACAGAAGCUUGAUGACUUCCCAAGAACAAUUUGGUAGAAAAGAGUGCUGAUGAAGAAGAGAGGACAACACAAAAGAAGACACAGAAGCACCAUGGGCAAACCAUGGAACAAGAACUGGAAUGAAUAUCUAUUCCACUACCUGAACUAAAGACUGCAGACGGAGAAAGGGAAGACAGGGGUUUAACUGGCAAUUCAAAGUGAGGUGAUCAGCCUUCUGUUACAGAGUUAACUGUGUGUGAAAGAAUGUAAGAUUCAUGUAUACAUCUGACAGUGACAGCUGUAUGGCCACAGCUUCAUGCUAUCAAGGCCCUUCAGUACAAGAUUGAAGUGAAGUGAUGAUAUUUGACAUCCUUGACUUCAAAGGAAAGCUUUGAAAAUCUCACCAUUAGAUAAGAUGCUUGCAGUGGAUUUUUUUUUAAAUUUGUAAUUAGCCUUUAUCAGAUUGAGGAAGCUCCAUUCUAGUUCUAGUUUUCCAUGAGUUUUUAUUUUUAACUUUUAUCAGGAAUGGAUUUUAAAACUCAUCAAAUGCUUUUUAUGUAUCAAUGAGUUGAAACCUAUUUUUUUAUUUUAUUCUUAAUAUGACCAAUUACAUUGCCUUUCUAAUGUUAAGCUAACCUGAAUUUCUAGUAUAAACCAACUUGCUUAUGAUGAAGUCUUUUUACCAACUGCUGGGUUUACAUUUUUAAGAAUUUUGGGGUCUAUGUUCAUAAUGAGAUUGGACUGUAUGUUUCCCUUGUCAUACUCUCUUGAUUGGUUUUUGGUAUCAAGAAAAUCCAGUCUGAUACCAUGUAUUAGAGUUUAUCUUAUUUUGUCGUUCUCUGGAAAUAUGUAGGAUUGAUAUUAAUUUUUCAUUGUGCCUGUUAGUAAAGAUGUUUGAACCUAAACAUUAUUUUGGAGGAAGUUUUAUAUUGCUGUUUCAGUUUCUUUAUGUUUAUCUCAGUUUUUUAUUAUAUCUUUUGUCAAAUUUAUAAGUGGUCGUUUUCUAGAAAUUUUCUGGACAGUUUCUUCUGAAUUUCUCAAUUUAUUGGAAUAAAGUUAUUACAUACAGUUAUUAUCUUUGUAAUAUCUAUAGAAUCUCCUGUUUUAUUCCUGAUGUAAGUUAAUUUUCUCUUCUUAAUUAUUCUCUUGAAAAAA
rnacentral:lncRNA from 10 species